rnacentral:rRNA from 1 species
GACGAACGCUGGCGGCGCGCUUAACACAUGCAAGUCGAGCGAUGAAACUUUAACAGAACCCUUCGGGGCGAAGAUAAAGUGGAUUAGCGGCGGACGGGUGAGUAACACGUGAGUAACCUGCCUUAGACAUUGGGAUAGCCUCGGGAAACCGGGAUUAAUACCAAAUAAAAUCAUAAUGACACAUGUCAUAACGAUCAAAACUCCGGUGGUCUAAGAUGGACUCGCGUCACAUUAGCUAGUUGGUAGAGUAAAAGCCUACCAAGGCGACGAUGGGUAGCCGGCCUGAGAGGGUGAACGGCCACAUUGGAACUGAGAAACGGUCCAAACUCCUACGGGAGGCAGCAGUGGGGAAUAUUGCACAAUGGAGGGAACUCUGAUGCAGCGACGCCGCGUGAACGAAGAAGGCUUUCGAGUCGUAAAGUUCUUUUAUAUGGGAAGAUAAUGACGGUACCAUAAGAAAAAGCCCCGGCUAACUACGUG